rnacentral:rRNA from 1 species
UACGUAGGGUCCGAGCGUUGUCCGGAUUUAUUGGGCGUAAAGAGCUCGUAGGCGGCUUGUCGCGUCGACUGUGAAAUCCCGCGGCUCAACUGCGGGUCUGCAGUCGAUACGGGCAGGCUAGAGUUCGGUAGGGGGAGACUGGAAUUCCUGGUGUAGCGGUGAAAUGCGCAGAUAUCAGGAGGAACACCGGUGGCGAAGGCGGGUCUCUGGGCCGAUACUGACGCUGAGGAGCGAAAGCGUGGGGAGCGAACAGG